CCCAUCUCUGUGACAAAGAUGAGUGGUUACUGGGUUUUGGCAAGUUGCUACAGAAAGAGUAGUCUAAGACAUUCUUAACAGAUGUCACACCAAUGUUCAAGAAAGACCCGAAGGUGUGUGGUCUGACUAGUGUAACAAGGGUUGUGAAGCACUAAAGUAAAACUGAUGUCAGUACGGUACAGUAUAGUACAGUACUCGUAGUAGCUUUGUCUAUCAAUACAGGCUUUCACAGUGUCUUAUGAUACAUCCCUUGUGCAACUAAAGUCUGUGGUCAUACAAGUGACAGGAUAGUUGCUUAUGUUUCUGAACAAGAGUGGAAGAAGCAUGAGUUAUAUUAUCCUAUACAUGGUUUAGAGAUAGUACUUGUCUCGAGAUGUGAAGGUAAUAACGUAUAAGGUAAAAGAUGAGAUCUUUAUCGAUCUAAGAAAUGGGUAGUGAUAAGUCUGAAGUAGAAAGUAGUGGAAAAGAAACUGAUCAGCGACUCUGAGUAUCCAAACCAGUAUCUAUAGGAUAAGGCAGAUAAGAUGUUAGCUG
rnacentral:lncRNA from 1 species